rnacentral:rRNA from 1 species
GUAGGGAAUAUUGGGCAAUGGAUGCAAGUCUGACCCAGCCAUCCCGCGUGCCGGAAGAAGGCCCUCAGGGUUGUAAACGGCUUUUGACGGUGAAGAACCGACAGGAUGAGUCCUGUUUUGACGGUAGCCGUUGAAUAAGCACCGGCUAACUCCGUGUCAGCAGCCGCGGUAAUACGGAGGGUGCGAGCGUUGUCCGGAUUUAUUGGGUUUAAAGGGUGCUUAGGCUGGAAGGUCGGUCAGCGGUGAAAAGCUAUCGCUUAACGAUAGUCUUGCCGCAGAUACUUCCUUUCAUGGAUGAUGAGUAGGCCACUGGAACGGAUGGUGUAGCGGUGAAAUGCAUAGAUAUCAUCCAGGACACCGAUUGCGAAGGCAGGUGGCUGUACCUUAGUCGACGCUGAUGCACGAAAGCAUGGGGAGCAAACAGGAAUAGAUACCCUUGUAGUCC